rnacentral:rRNA from 1 species
AUUGGUUAAUGUGCGAAAGCGCGAACCAGCAACGCCGCGUGUGCGAUGAAGGCCUUCGGGUCGUAAAGCACUUUUUGCAAGGAAGAGGAAGGACGGUACCUGCAGAAUAAGUCUCGGCUAACUACGUGCCAGCAGCCGCGGUAAAACGUAGGAGACGAGCGUUAUCCGGAUUUACUGGGCGUAAAGCGCGUGCAGGCGGCAUGGCAAGUUGGAUGUGAAAGCUCCCGGCUUAACUGGGAGAGGUCGUUCAAUACUGCCAGGCUUGAGAGUGGUAGAGGGAAGCGGAAUUCCGGGUGUAGUGGUGAAAUGCGUAGAUAUCCGGAGGAACACCAGUGGCGAAAGCGGCUCCCUGGCCCAUCUCUGACGCUCAGACGCGAAAGCUAGGGUAGCAAACGG